rnacentral:rRNA from 1 species
AUUGAACGCUGGCGGCAGGCCUAACACAUGCAAGUCGAACGAGUGGCGGACGGGUGAGUAAUGUCUGGGAAACUGCCUGAUGGAGGGGGAUAACUACUGGAAACGGUAGGUAAUACCGCAUACCAUCGGAUGUGCCCAGAUGGGAUUAGCUAGUAGGUGGGGUAAAGGCUAACCUAGGCGCCGAUCCCUAGCUGGUCUGAGAGGAUGACCAGCCACACUGGACCUGAGACACGGUCCAUACUCCUACGGGAGGCAGCAGUGGGGAAUAUUGCACAAUGUGCGAAAGCCUGAUGCAGCCAUACCGCGUGUAUGAAGAAGGCCUUCGGGUUGUAAAGUACGUUCAGCGGGGAGGCGUAACCCGCAGAAGAGGCACCGGCUAACGCCGUGCCAGCAGCCGCGGUAAUUC